UACGUAGGGUCCAAGCGUUAUCCGGAAUCACUGGGCGUAAAGCGUGCGUAGGUGGAUGUUUAAGUGUGAUGUUAAAUCGUGGGGCUCAACCCUGUCGGUGCAUCGCAUACUGGACGUCUAGAGGACAGCAGAGGCAAGUGGAAUUUGUAGUGUAGCAGUGAAAUGCGUAGAUAUUACAAGGAACACCAAUGGCGAAGGCAGCUUGCUGGGCUACUCCUGACACUGAGGUACGAAAGCGUGGGGAGCGAACAGG
rnacentral:rRNA from 1 species